CUAACCGCGUCAUCGGCGCGUAGUGGGGUGACGAUCCUGUGUCCGUCUCUGUUCUGAAUAUCGAUCGUAGCCAAGCUAGCAGUCAUUGCCAUUUUAUUACAAUGUCACCGAAGUACAUUAAGUCGUUGUUUCCUAAACGUGGGCGGCAUUUCGCUGUGGCAUGCUAGGCCAGCUGCAAUAUAUUUAAACAUUUCUCAGUGUUUUAAAUUAUCGUAUCGUCCGGCAAUCGACGCUGAGAAGUGGGCACCUGGUGUAGAUUAUGUUAGCCAGCUGUUGGUUUAUGGAGGAGAAAUGAAAACAGUCAUUUCAUUCUAUUCGAACAAUCAUUCGAUCGAUGCUUUCUUUAUGAAAAGGGAGGAAAGUGAUUCAGCUGGCCUGCCCUAUAGCCAGUGUUCCUCAGUCGGGUAGUAUCAGUGCUGUUUCUGGUUUUCAAACGAAUUACGUUUAAAUGGCUAACAUUGAUCGAGGACCGCAGAGAAAAUUCUAAAGCCGGCAGUAGUGCUGCUAUCACUAGAUCGGUGUGGUGCCUCGCAGCUGGAGCAAUCAAGUCGCAGCCACAAUGCUAACCGCUCUGGCAGUGCAAGCUCCAUUUAAUGGAUGAUGCUAAUUGAUUACUUCUGGAUUAAAGACCCUCAAGAGCAUAAAAAAGAUAUGUCGACCGCUUCACUGAUUUCCUACGGAAUCACUUUCCCCAUCGCGGGUUGGGCCUACAGAGUGUAUGACGUUUUUGUGGGCCAGUUGGUCUAAGCUACUAGCUGGCGUCAUGGCGAGAAGUGUGUUGGUAUUACGUCCAGAUCGACGAAGAAAGCUGUUUUCAUUACACACAGGGCUACCUAAAUGGGAAAUUGAUCUGCAACCAGAGGCACGCUUAUUCCUGUAACACUCUCAAGGCAACACCUGGUUCUCACCAUACAGGCAGGGACACUAGCCAACUCUGAACUGAGGUCCACAGCAUUUAGACAGCCGGAGUUCCUUGGAUUAAAACUACAUUACCUCCUUUCGACAGCACAUCAGGCGCCCACAGCCUACCAGAAGCGAAAUGAUACUGCCCCAGACAGCAGUUACCGCAGAACAAUUUGAACGUUGUGAGGCACUGGGCCCUGCUGGAGACACAUCUCUCGGACCGUGGACUCGGUGAAUUUCCAUAUUCGAUUUCAGGGAGCGACAAGAGGUGCUGUUGGGGAAUGUUUUGAACAGAUGGGCUUUGCAUGUUCCAUGUCAACAAAAAUUCUGGAAUGUACACACAGCAAAGCAAGCUUAAAAAAAGGGCUGCAUUUAUAGGCAUUCAUCUGAUCGACAUUUAUAAUGGAGUGUAUGCCUGGACUGGUGGGGAGAAAGCAUAAUGGCAAGACCUCAGGGAGUAGGUUUGCAAGCUUCCAGAUUUUUACCACUAUAGUGCAUUCAGCAUGUGUCCAGUUGGGUAAUAUAAUCUGGCAAAAUGGCCUUCUUCCUGUGGCUGGGUUUAUUCAUUUAUUUAGAAUCUAUAGAUAAGUCUAAUUUAAUUAUCCAGAGGCAAUAAAUCUAGGCAGACCUGGAGCCAAACAUCCAGGAUCAAUCACACCUGGGACCAAUGGAAGCAAAUUACUUUUUUAAUGCCUUGAAAAACAGCAGUAAUGGAAAAUGAUAUUUCACUGUGAGGAAUAGUGGCUUUAGAAAUGGUAGAGGGCCAGGAGCCAUGAUUUAUCUCCUCAGAUGAGUCAAUAACAAAAUAAAUAUUGGAUUAUGAAAGCCUUUAAAAAAUGA